GCGUAAUACGUCUCCUGUUGCUACCGGUGCUUCCCUUUGAAAAUAUCUCUCACUGCCGCCAAGAGCAGUAUUUGGAUUUCGAAGCUGGAGAAGUUCGUUACAUGCUUCCCUGAAAUCCACUUCCAUCUUGGGAUAUGCAUCGGGCCGACCGAAGACUUAUUGUUGAGCUGGACUCUCGCAUGCGUAAGAUCCCGUUGAAGAGACUCUUCAGCGUCUUUAGCCCGCUUCUUUUCGUCAUCCAAGUCUUUGAUGCGAUGAGCGUGCGGAGACUUUGGAUCAAUACGGGCAUAGUUUGCCGGACUAUCAAGCCCACAUCCUGGUCAGUUUCUGCCGCAGCCAACUGCUCAUCGACUUCCCUAGCUUG